CGCCGUCACGGCGGGCGCGGCGACCGCCACGGGCGACGGCCGCGUGGGCGCCUACCUCCGGUUCGACACCACGGGCGGCGACC
rnacentral:tRNA from 2 species